rnacentral:rRNA from 1 species
CGAGAAAGGGUAGCAAUACCUGAGUACAGUGGCGCACGGGUGAGUAACACGUGACUAACCUACCCUGGAGUGGGGAAUAACUGAGGGAAACCUUAGCUAAUACCGCAUAAUACCUACGGGUCAAAGGAGCAAUUCGCUUCAGGAGGGGGUCGCGGCCGAUUAGCUAGUUGGCGGGGUAAUGGCCCACCAAGGCAAUGAUCGGUAUCCGGCCUGAGAGGGCGCACGGACACACUGGAACUGAAACACGGUCCAGACUCCUACGGGAGGCAGCAGUGGGGAAUUUUGCGCAAUGGGGGAAACCCUGACGCAGCAACGCCGCGUGGAGGAUGAAAUCCCUUGGGAUGUAAACUCCUUUCGAUCGGGACGAUUAUGACGGUACCGGAAGAAGAAGCCCCGGCUAACUUCGUGCCAGCAGCCGCGGUAAUACGAGGGGGGCAAGCGUUGUUCGGAAUUAUUGGGCGUAAAGGGAGCGUAGGCGGUUUUGUAAGUCGUGUGUGAAAUCUUCGGGCUCAACCCGAAGUCUGCACACGAAACUGCAGGGCUUGAGUAUGGGAGAGGUGAGUGGAAUUCCUGGUGUAGCGGUGAAAUGCGUAGAUAUCAGGAGGAACACCUGUGGCGAAAGCGGCUCACUGGACCAUUACUGACGCUGAGGCUCGAAAGCUAGGGGAGCAAACAGGAUUAGAUACCCUG